rnacentral:lncRNA from 1 species
AUACCAUCCACAUCUGACGAUUCAUUUGAUCUUCAUUGUCCUCUUCGUCGCCCUCCAUCCACCAACAUCUGCCGUUGAACCCUGACCACUUCCCGACCGCCAACAUUUCCGCCAAGCCGCGAAGAGGUUUGUAAUGCCAAAGUGCUCGAACUUCGGUCAUGACUGUCUGCUUCAACAAUUUCAUUCCUCAAUGUUGCUUUUGUUAUCUCCUUACUCAUGUGCGAUGUCAAUCGCUGUAGCUAAUCAUUCUCCAUUCUAGUAAACCACAUAUGCUAUAUUUUCCAUUUCUAUUGCUACUGUUUGUGGGCAAAUCGAUUGUGAUUGAGGCUGUAUUUAUGAUUUAAACUGGUGCUUCUUAGCCUAGAUGUAGACCACCUAUUUGAUGAAAUUCCUGAACUAAGUCGGUGUGUAUUUU